rnacentral:rRNA from 1 species
GAUGAACGCUAGCUACAGGCUUAACACAUGCAAGUCGAGGGGUAACGAGAGGGAAGCUUGCUUUCCUUGUCGACGACCGGCGCACGGGUGAGUAACGCGUAUCCAACCUGCCCCCAACUAAGGAAUAACCUUGCGAAAGUAAGACUAAUACCCUAUAAUUUCCUCAGAUGACAUCUGACGAGGAAUAAAGAUUUAUCGGUUGUGGAUGGGGAUGCGUCUGAUUAGCUUGUUGGCGGGGUAACGGCCCACCAAGGCAACGAUCAGUAGGGGUUCAGAGAGGACGGUCCCCCACAUGGGAACUGAGACACCGGCGAAACUCCUACGGGAGGCAGCAGUGAGGGAUAUUGGUCAAUGGGCGGAAGCCUGAACCAGCCAAGUAGCGUGCAGGAUGACGGCCCUAUGGGUUGUAAACUGCUUUUAUACAGGAAUAAAGUUAGCCACGUGUGGUUAUUUGUAGGUACUGUAUGAAUAAGGACCGGCUAAUUCCGUGCCAGCCGCCGCCGUAA